rnacentral:lncRNA from 1 species
CUUGAAAGAAUCAUUCUAUAUGAUAUGAUAGGAUAGACUCUUCUAUUUUGUAGAACCUUAAGUGAUUUGGAUUUAAACCUAUGGAGAAAGAAGGCAUAUACAGAUGAGAUGUCAGUGUGAAGGCCAUUCCAAGAUUAUUUUAGAGGCUUUCCUUGUUAAUCACCAUGAAACAUUCCAUGAGACCCCAUAAAAUGGCUCCUUUCAUCUCUAUUAUCUACAAAGGCACAGACUAUCUGCAUCUUCUUCGUAGAUGAGCACAUGAGGACACAAAAGAGUAAUUUGAGGUAACCUGGUUGUGAUCAUUAAUUUUAAGUGUCAACUUGACUGGAUUAAGGAAUAACCAAAGAACUGGUAAAGCAUCGUUUCUAUGUGUGACCGUGACGGCAUUUCAAGAAAAGAUAGAUUGCUGUUGACUGCUGGUAAAUGGAACUGCAAAAGAUGAAAUCAUGAAUGAGAGAGGACUACUGUAUAUGUAAUUUGGUAAUUAAAGAGCGAGAGACUACUGCUUCGUAUUGUUAUGAAGGGGAGAGCAGGAGGAUCCAAGAUGUAGUACAGAUGUUUGACACUCAUAGUGAUGAAAGCAGAAAGCAGGUGAAUAAACAGAUAAUGAACUGGUAUCUUGAUAAACAAAAGAUAUAACUAGUUAUCAGAAAAUUGCUUUCUUGAUGUAAGGGCAUGAGGAAACUUAUUCACAGAAAAUAAAAGUCUUUUAGAUGGCUUUAUUGGCUGCAAUGGGGCUGUGAUAUUCAGGGAUAUACAGUGAAAAUAAAUCCAUGAGCUAAGAAGCUUCUUGUUGGCUUAUUCCAACCUUCCUUUAUUCAAUUAUCCACACUUUGAAUUAAUAAAUACUAUGUUUCUGGUCUUGUUCAAGGUGUUGGGGUUUCAUCUAACAGGAAAUGGUGUACUACAACUCAAUUCUUGUGCUGUCUUAGUACGUUCCUGCUGCUAUAAGAAAAUACCUUAAGCUGGGCAAUUUAUAAAGAACAGAAAUUUAUUUCUCAUAGUACCAAAGACUAUGAGUCCAAGAUCUAAGCAUGGGAAGGUUGAGUGUUUGGUGAGAGCUCAGUCUCUGCUUCUGAAAUGGCACUUUGUUGCUGCAUCCUCCAGAGUGGAGGAACACUGUGUUGGUGGAAAGGAUAGAAGAAGUGUGGAAGGGACAGAAGAAGUGUGGAAGGAUGAAGGCUGCAUGAAGCCUUUGGUAUAAGGAUCUUAAUCUAAUUCAUGAAAGAAGAACCCUCUGACCUAAUGUUUUCUUAAAGGCAACACCUCUUAAUAUUAUCACAUUGGUCAACAAGUUUCAACACCUAAGUUUUGGCGGGAUCACAUUCAAAACAUAGAAGAUUCUAACCACCCCCACCCCCCAAAUUUAGCACAUAUCCCACAGAUUAAGGGUUUGGUACUUCACGAGACUGCCCUUGUUUUAGAUGCCAGCCAUCAGUGGAGAGUCCUCGGGUCACCUGCACUUCUCACAAAAUGCCUACAGAUCGGGAAACAGUUGUGGGUAAUGAUUAUACAAUGAUACAAAUGGAUUGUCUGUAUUGCAUAAUUUAAAAUUUUCAAAUAAAGACAUAAGGGAUCAUGAAACAGAAUCCUACUGCAAGAAAAAUUUUAUUGAUUAAAUACUAAACUUGAAGAUAAAUGUUGACAACAGGGAAGAAAAUGUUCAGAAGUUUUUAUUCAUGAUGGGAGUAAGAAAAGGAAGAGAAGAGGGGUAAGAAUUUUAUCUAAAUGGCUCACUUUGUAGAACUUGAAACCAGUCGGAAAUAGGGGAUCUUGGUAGAAAAUAUAGUUCCUUGGUUCUAUAUAAUGAUAAUAAAAUGUGUCUG